ACAGCUACCUAUUCGACUCAAGCUUUCUGGUGCAUCACUUAAAACCAGAAAUGCACUUGUAAAGAAGCAUCACCAAGCACCUGAAACUGAUCCCCAUCACAACAGCAUAACCACCCAAGCCAAAGCACUCCCACCUUCAAAUAUCAAAACGUACCGAAGCAAUUUUAAGAGAUAAUAAGAAUAUAAAAUCUCUUCGAUGUUCACCAUUCAAAUAUUAUUUAAGUAAAAAUAAUCAAUAAAAACGUAGAAUAUCUAUGAGUAAUUAAGAAGAUAAAAAAAUAUCAAAUGUAUUUUCUUUACUUUUAUAUAGCAUUACUCCUCCAAGUACACUUAAACAACUAGUUGAUCAGAGUUAUAUUUUGGAAACCAUCCUAUACCUCCUUCAUUUUUAAAGGGGUGUACAUUGUGCCAACCAUCAAAGAAUACUCAACCCUGCCUUGAUUAUGCAUCCCUGACUUGGAUUCAAAUCUGUUGUAGAGGGAAAAGACAAGAUAUCUUAAGAAGCUCGGUCAGAUGAUGGGGAUGAAUGUUCAGGUUGUUGGUCCAUGUGUGAAACGAAAGGGGGGCACGUGAUCCCUUGAAAUUUCUUGCAUGAGUUUAUUAUAAAGCACCUAAAUGAUGAACAAGCGAUAACUGUUAUGGACUUCGUAAUUUACAGGAUGGUCAUUUUUUGAAGUCUUAGGGCAUGUUGAAGUAGUCUUUAUUGAUUCUUUGAGCAAGUUGAGAACAAAAUCAACCUUGAGACCACUAAAUUACUGUCGAUGGAAUAGAGAGGUAUGAUUUGCGGAUGUGCACAAUUGUUGUAUAUUUGGAUCAAAAGUCACUUUGAAAGUAGAAAAAGUGCAUUCCAUGCACCAUAUACCUUUACUUUCAUCCCUAUCAAGGAGUUUUGUAAAAGUGAGUGGCCUGAGCAGAAAUCCAAAGGGAAAAUGGGUGUGGAGUCUUAUGAAACCUUAUGAGUUAGCAUGUAGUAUGGAGAGUGUCGAGAACGACUUGUGAAUCUUUAUUGUAUAGUUGGGGAGAUGAGCCAUGGAUUGUAGUUUUAUUGCUCUAUAGGUUUUAGGGGCCUUGCAAGCCAUUAGUUAUGCGUCAAUUAUGAUGUGAAGGGAAUUUAGAUCCAAGUAGUUCAUUCCAAUGAACCACAAGUGUAACGAACUAGGGUUUUCUUAUGGCAAGCUUGGAACAUCAAAAAUGGUGGAAGAGAUAGCUAAGGCAUGGAAACAAGCCCGCAGAGUUAGCUAAGGAAGUGCAUCUCACUUUGAGUAUCUUGUGUGGUGUGCACGAGGGAUCGAAGACAUUGUGCUUCCACAAGAAGGCAAACCCGAUUACCCAGUUGACUUAAAAACAAGAGAUUUCCUUUUAGAAAUGGAGAUUUGGAGGAAGAAACUCAAAGUUGAGAAAGCUAAAUUGAGGCAGGAAAAUGGUAGACCUUGUAAAUAAAUUGGGAAAUUGAAAGAUAAAACAAAUAGGCAAGAAAGUAAGAUUUUGAAGCUAGAUGAAGAAUGUGAUAAAUGGAAAGAAUGUAUGAGUGGUUAGGCUAGACAAUCUCAUGAAUGACCACUAAGCUCAAAGAACUUGAAAACGACAAAGAGUACUUGCAAGUUGAUUUACAUGAUGAGAAGGACAAGUAUUGCUAGUUUAGGAAAGAAAAUGACACACUUAAUGCCCACAUUAAUAGCUUUGAAUUGAGUUUGCAUUACCAGGAAAUAUCCAUUAAAAUACUUAAACAAGAGCAUAAGGAGCUUGAACAUGAGGGUUGUUUGGUCCAAGUUUAGCAAAGUUAGGGAAAAUCGAUAAAAUGUGGAGACACGAGUACUUGAAUAAAUCAGGUGUUGGAAAAUCAUGCAAUCAUAUUGACAUAAAUGCAACAGAAUUUAAAAAUCUUUACCCAUAGCAAGAUCCAACUUUGGUUUGUUUAACAUACAUAACCUAACUAAAAGUAAUAAGAUUGGUAUUACUCAAACCUUGGAUUUCAAAAUCUCAUAGUUCAAAACCUUGGUUGUCAAAACCUCUAAAAGCUAUUCAAGCCUUUAGCCUCCAAUGAUAAUUGGUGGGAAAAUCUCCAAGGGAUAAAGGGGAGAGUCUAUGUUGAUUAACGAGUGCUAGCUAGGGAGCUCUUAGUUUUCUUCUUGUAGGGGGUUCUUUUGGUAGAGAGAGAGGACACAUUGCAAUAAGUAAAACGGAAUGCACUAAAGGUGAUAGAGAGGAAGAAUGGAGUAGUCCUUGAAGUAUAAGUGCUUUUGUGUUAGGUGUUGAAGAAUAAGAAAAGGUAGAAAAUGCGACAAAACAUGAUGGAUGGAAAGGGCUACAUAGAGAAAAUAUUUGAGAGAGCUUUGCUAGAGUUUUGAGCAUAAUCUCUCUUGAGUUUUUUAUUAUCUUCUCAUUACCUCCCACCUUUCUGAACUCUCAUAUUCAUGCUAAAUAGGAGUGGCAAUUGGUGAAAGGAGAGUACUUUUAGGAGAAUACGUUCAAUCAUGGAAGUACAUGCAUGUUAUGGGAAGAACACAUUCACUAUGAGAAAAACGUCUUAUGAAAAGAACACGUUAAAAAACAACUUAUUGGAUGUUAAGAGAUUGAGCAUGUAGUUGGGUAGUGGCCAUAAGUUUUUGAUAGUGGAGUAGUGACACUUAAUAGUGUGUCACAUGUACUUUUAAGAAAGAAGGAAAGAGUAAAGCACAUGAACUUUAAUAAAAAGGUUAAAAGAAGUUCUUUUAACUACCUCUAUAUCUGAGCCAUCAAGUUAAACUCUUUAAAACAUCCUAAAUAUGAAGAUAACUUAGUGAACCCUAUCACUUAUUUUGAGUUACUUUCACUUUCCUAUGUGACAUAGUUGUUCCACAUUGUUCUUAUAUUGUAAAACAAUACUUAAAGAAAUAAUGGUUAGCCAAAAUUAGGCAUCUACAUUUUGUAACCUUCAUAAGAGUUUUUAUAAGAAAUUUUUAUGCAUAAAUAAGAAGAUAUAGUUUGAGUCAUGCACAUAGAAUAAGUAAUGCAAGGCAACACUUAUAUAUAGAUAUAAAAUUGGCACAAAACAAUAUGUUCUAACAUUGCUUCAUUAGCUAUUCUUUCUUUUUACGCACUUGGGAACAUCUUUAGACAUUACGCACUUGAAAUGUCACUAUGCAUUAUGCACUUAGGAAUGUCCCUAGGUGUCACGCACUGGGAAUGUCCCUAGGCGUUACGCACUUGGAACGUUCUUAUGCGUUAUGCACUUGGGAAUGUCUUUAGGAGUUACACGCUUAGGAUUGUCCCUAUGCUUUAUGCACUUAGGACUAUCCCUAGGUGUUGCACACUUGGAAUAUCCCUGGGUGUUACACAUUUGGAACGCCCUUAUGCGUUACGUACAUGGAACGUUCUUAGAUGUUACAUACUUGGGAAUUUCCCUAUGUUUUACGCAGUUGGGAAUAUCCUUGGGCGUUGCACACUUGAAACGUUUUUGGGUGUUAUGCACUUGGAAUGUCCCUAUGCAUUAUUGUGAAACCUCGACCUUCAUAGAUGUGUAACUAGAGGUAGAACUUAUGUUUAAAUGUUUAAUUUGAGCUAAUGAUGCUAUUUUUAUGUUACUUAUAAUUAUUUUAUGUUGUUAUAGGAGUAGGAUUAAAAAAUGAUUUCAAUUGGUGAAGAAAGGUGCAUGAUGGGCUGUUGCUCUAUUUACAUAUGUUUUGGUUUUUCAAGCAUAUCUCCCACUACAAAAGUCCAAAUAACGUGAUUUUUAGACCAUUAGAAAGAUAAGAGGUAGGGCUACAACUUUGAUGUUUACCAUUUUGCUAGUUCUAAUGGGAAGAUGGUCAAAAUCUUUGUCGAAGUGAAAGUACUGCACCAAAAGAACAGAUUUGGAUAGAACAUUUGAGCACCGCGGUGCUGGAAAUUUAAAGCCGCGGCCCUUAUCAUAAUUUCCAAAAAUAACAAGCUUAGGGGAUUUUUGAAACUAGGGCUAUUGGGGGCUACUUAAAAGACCUUUUUAAAAAGAUUUUGGACAUUUUCCCAGUGUCAAAAGAGUAAAAAGAUUGCACAAGAAAAAGAGAAAGACAAGUGGCCUUGUUAAGGGCAUUAUUGUAAUUGCAUGAAAAAUUAGAUAAGCUUUAACUAUAAAUAUUUACUCUCCAGCAGCCUUCUUCAUUUUUUUUCCAAUAGAUUCUUCUUCCCAUCUUUCUCUUCAUCUCACGUUUCUUCAUCCUCCAUGGGAGUUCUCUUCAAGCUUCCAUAACUUUCUCAAGUUAGUCUCAAAUUUCAUGCUUUUGUGCACCUUUUCACAAGCCCUUUAUGCUCUUUUACUCUUUCACCUUAAAACCCUCCAAAAUCUUAAACGAAUACUUUUUCUCACUAGCUAGGUGUUUUAGAGAGAGAACAAAAGACUCUCUAUAAUAGUUUGGGAAUUCUUGAGGAGGAAUCCAAUUACAAAUCUAGUAAGGUGAGUAUUGAAAUUGAGUUGAUAUUUUUAGUUGUUGAGAAUGGCUGGUGGUUAGAUCUGUGAGUGUUUUGUAGUUAAGGUGAUUUAUUCAUUUUAGUGUGAUUAGAAUAGUGAAAAUAGAUAACCACUUAAUGGUAGUUGGAAACUAGUUAGGAAUAACUAGCAGAACAUGAUUUAGGAGAUAGCUUCUGGAACUAUAUUUAUGUGAAUUGAGUUAAUUGUGAUGCUAUUAUGAUGAUAGGUUCCAACGAAGCUCCACUGCCCUAUUUGGACCAUUAAAGGAAGUUGGAAUUGAGUAAAGAUUUAACAAAUACCGGUGAGUGAACUUGCAUUAAAAUAUUUUGGGAUUAGGAUAUAUGUGUUUGAUUAAAUCCACUAAAAUAUUUCAUCUGUUUUCUCUAAAAUAUGUAUGGGAACAAGCUUUUGAAUGAAACGUUUUGCAUUGUGGAAUGUGACUGUGAUGAAUCCAUGUGCCCUGCAUUAUGUUGAUAUAUAUAUAUAUAUAUAUAUAUAUAUAUAUNNNNNNNNNNNNNNNNNNNNNNNNNNNNNNNNNNNNNNNNNNNNNNNNNNNNNNNNNNNNNNNNNNNNNNNNNNNNNNNNNNNNNNNNNNNNNNNNNNNNNNNNNNNNNNNNNNNNNNNNNNNNNNNNNNNNNNNNNNNNNNNNNNNNNNNNNNNNNNNNNNNNNNNNNNNNNNNNNNNNNNNNNNNNNNNNNNNNNNNNNNNNNNNNNNNNNNNNNNNNNNNNNNNNNNNNNNNNNNNNNNNNNNNNNNNNNNNNNNNNNNNNNNNNNNNNNNNNNNNNNNNNNNNNNNNNNNNNNNNNNNNNNUAUAUAUAUAUAUAUAUAUAUAUAUAUAUAUAUAUAUAUAUAUAUAUAUAUGUUUAUGUAAUAGGAAGUUCAUGAAUAUGGUAUAUGGUUGUAAUGUAUGUGAAAUCUUGCAUGUUGAACCUUGGAAAUUGUUAAGUAUUUUCAAGUUGAUUUUGUCAUUGCAGCGAGAAACAUUCUGUUUUGCUUGCUACCUUAUUUGGUUGCUGCCCCAUUUUCCAUUUCUUUAGCACCAUAGUUGAUCAUGGACUCUCAACAUUGAGGAAUUUAUUUAAUCAAGUUUGAAAUGAGGGGUUUUAGCGAGAAACCCUCGGCCAGUUGAAAAACCCUCGGCCAACUGAUAAUUUGAACCCAAAUUUUGCUAUAGCAAAAAUUCAUUCUCGCUGCAACGUGGGACCCCUCAUUUCACUUGACUUGCUUGAAUGCUAUUAAAGUUUUCACUCUUUAAAUCCUUUGUUGUGCAUGGAUCUUUUAUCGUCAAGUGAUUAACUAAUUAAGGGUUUAAAUGAGGGGUUUAAAUAAGAGCUAAACUAAAUUGCAUUAUUUUGAAAAUAAAUGCAUCAUGAUUUCUUUAAACUUUCCUUAUCGUUUAAUUGUUCCUUUCCUUUGUUCACUCACUGGGUUUAUACUCACCGUUUUCAACUUAAUGUUUUCAGAUCAAGAGGUAGCCGGUAACUAGGUCGAGGUGUUCUCAUAGAUUCGUUUCCUUGGUAGGUAUCUCAGCAUUCAAUAGCUGAACUUUCGCCCGAGUCUCUCCGCUGGAAGUCGAGUAUCCCUUUUGUUGUGUAUAGACAAACCCGAUGUAAAUUAUUAAGAUAUAUGUUUUAGACAAUAUAUGUAUAUUUUGAUUGGUAAUGCCACUAUGAGAUGGUAAUGGUUAGCAUUAUUUUGAAUUAGAAUUAUGAAAUAUAACUUUAGCAACUUUUGAUGGAAUGUUGAACAGGUCAUAUAGAUAGGCUUGCUUAGGCUUAGUGGGCUAUGUCCAUUACGCCCAUGCGCCGGGCAUGGCUCAGAAUUUGGGUCGUGACGAUUAUGCACUUGGGAAUGUCUUUGGGUAUUACAUACUUGGAACGUCCUUGGGCAUUAUGCACUUGAAAUGUCCAUAUUAGCGUAGUUUUUUUUUGUGCAGCAUUAGUUUUUUUAUGUAUAUGUUUAAUGAUAUAUAUAUUUUCUUAACUAUUUUGUUUGGCAUAAAGAUAAAGAUAAACAAAUAAACAUGGAACAUGUCACGACCCGAAACUCCCCUUGAGCCCGUGACAACCGCCGCGAUGUCCUGAUCGACAUUCAUUACCCGGAAUGUCAAUCGAAACCCCGCAAGGCUUUAAUAUUAGCUUCUCAUUUCCCCUGUGAGUAACCGUUGCCAAAUAUCACGUUCUAAAAGAUUUUAAACUAUAUCCAAAUCAAAACAAUAGAAAAAUAAUUUUUUCUCACAAGGGCAUUUUGGUCAUUUUUUCUCAAAAAUAUCGAAAUUUGCUAAAAAUGUAGUAUGCGAGUACAAAACACAUAAUUCAUAAUAAAAAAUAAGUUUAAACAUCUAAAACCUUCAUUUAAAAUGAAAUAUGAUUAUUAGAAUAAAAUAAAAAUAUUGAAUAAAAUAUUUAAUUUUCUCAUAAAACAAUAUUUUUAGAACACUGCAUAAAUAAUUUUUACAGCGCAAAAGCAAAAUAAAUUCAUAUAUAUAGUAAUAUAGUAAGCCAGAGUAUUUAAUUUAAUUUACAGUAACAAGUGGGCCCACGAACGACCAAAAGCAUUAAAAGUAGUAAACCUACAGUUUUUGAGGAUGCAAGUUCAACUGUAGCCCUCAACAAAGUGAGCUAUCUACCAACUAUCCUGAGUCUGAAAGGGGUGGAAAGAAGGGUGGUGAGAUUAUAUAAUCCUAGUGAGUAAACAAAUACCAUCUAAAAUAUCUAAAGUUGAGUAAAUGGAGACAGAUAAAAUAGUUUAACAUACUGAAAUUUAUUACCUUUCAACUUGUUUCAACCAAAUAAAAUCAAUUCAUAUAAAUCGAGUAAUCAACAUGGCUUAUGAAAUUCUUAAAACUUUGGCUCGUGCCAAUAUCAUUCUCAUACCCAGUUAUCAGGGAUGCCUUGAUCGAGCGCUAUCCCAACCGAGUCCGCCAAGGCUGUUAAAAAGUUAUGUACGCAUAAAUCAUGUUUUUAUUUUGAAAACAUAACCGUUCCUUGGCGUUGACUGAGUUCACCGUCACGUGAUGGUUUAGCAUGAAGUGAACUCUAAAGUGUUAACCUCAGGAGUUAUCCACCUGUGCCUCUCAUAUUGAGGUAAGAUAUAACGAGGUUUACCGUGCCCCUCUAAUAGGCUGGUCCACGAAAACCCGCCCACUGCAGUAAGCUAAUCAAUAUCCCACCAAUUCAAUAAAAUUUCAACAGCAUGACAUGGCAAUUUAUCAUUAUCCAGCCUAUCAAGGCAAACAACAAUUUAUACAUUUCAACACAAAUACCAAUUCAGCCAUUCAUGCCAAUAUUGUCAUAAGCCAAUCAAUUAGGACCAUAAAUUCACAAUACAUCAAAUGGUCUCCAAUUACCCUACUUUCAAAGCCAUUAUUCAAUUUUAAAACAAUUUUAUGAAAUCAUUUCAUUAAAUCACAUUUGGUUUAUAAAACCAAAAUUAAUCAUUUAAUUCAUUUUCCAUGAAAUUCACAAAAUCGGAUAAAAACCACUUUAGAUAAUUAAGACAAUAGUAAGGUUACUCACAAUGUCUAGAGUGCGGAGUUUCGAAGUACUCUGACUACUGGUCCUAGGAUGCAAUUUUCUUGCCUUUAUCGGA
rnacentral:lncRNA from 1 species